AUACUACAAGCGCACAUAUGGACCUGCAUACACAAAAGCAUGCACAUUUGCUCACAUGGAUAAGUGCAUACUGGGCCUUGGAAAAUGAUGAGGCUGCCCCAAAUUCAAUUUAGCGCUGAAAUUGUGACACAAAACUUAUUUAAAUAUUUGUUUUUCCCUAAGUCACAAAAUCCACACCACUGAAUAUGAUUGCAGAUAGAUGUUCAUUUGCAUGCCGAUGCGCACAUAGGAGCAUGCAUAUGUAACUCAAUCUACGCGUUAUGUAUAAAAAUCAUAAUUCACAAUAUCUGGAAAACAACUCUUUUGUAAUUUCAUGACUGAAAAGCUAAUUGAUGAUCUGUUCCACAGGUGAUUAUCAGUAUGAGUUCAA
rnacentral:misc_RNA from 1 species